rnacentral:sRNA from 1 species
UCGCUGUAGCCGCUCGAUCUCUUCUAGC